GUUUAUUGAUAUUCUUCCAAUCCAUGGCUGUUUCUAUUUUAAAUUUUAGUCUCUGUUUACAGGAUGAGUGAUCUUUUUUCUGAUGUGUACUGGGAACCCCUGAUUUAGAGCUCAUUUGUAGCUUCUUAGAGCCCUACCUGUCCAGAGGCGGUUGAUAGUUAAGAAAACCCAUGGACCAGGGCUCUGAGGUGUCUGAGCCAGCCAGCCACUCAGCCUCUAAUCCAGCCUCUUGGCCAGCCAGCAGCUCAGCCAGCCCAGCCUCCCAGCCCUCUUCUAGGUCAGACUCUCACCCAGCCAUUCGGCCAGCCUCCCAGCUGGCCUUUAAGACAGCUAGCCUGUGGGUCUCUCUGCCAGCCUCCCAGGCAGUCUGUUGGUGAGCCUUCGAGGUAACCUCUAAACCAGGGAGCCAGCCCACCUCUGGGCAAGAUUCCAAGCCACCCCCUUGGCAGAUCUCUCAGCCAGCCAACCUGCCAGCCAGUCUCUUAGCAAGCUUCUCAACCAGCCAGGCUCUCAGGAAGUCUCUAAGCCAGCCUCUCAACCAGGCAGCCUCUGAGCCAGUCUCUCAGGCAGCCAGCCUCUCAAACAGCCUCCCAGCCAGCCUCUCAGCCAGCCUCUCAACUGCCCUUUCAAGCAGCUAGCCUCUCAGCCAGCCCACCUACUAGCUGGCCUCCAGGCAAGCCUCUAAUCCAGCCAGCCUCUCAGUAACCCUCUAAGCCAGACUUGCAGGCAGGCAGCCUCUCAGCCAGCUUCCCAGGCAACCAGCCUCUCAGCCAGGCAGCCACCCAGACUGCAUCUUGACCAGCCUUCCAGAUAAACCCUUGCUCAGCCUGACAGCCAGCCAGCCUGACAACCAUGCUCUAGGCAAGCCUUUAAUACAGCCAGCUUCUCAGCAAGCCUCUAAGCCAGCCUCUCAACCAGGCAGCUUUUGAGCCAGGCUUUUAGGCAGCCAGCUUGUCAAACAGCCUCCCAGUCAGUCUCUCAUCCAGGCUCUCAUGCAUUUAACCUCUUGCCCAGCCUCCCAGGUGUCCUCUUGGCCAGCCUAUAUGCACCACCUUUGCCAGCCUCUCAGUCAGUCAGCCUGAUAGCCAACCUCUCAGCAAGCCUCUAAGACAGCCUCUCAGCCAGGCAGCCUCUCAGCCAUCCUCUCAAGCAGCCACCCUCUCAAACAGACUCUUAGAAGUCUCUCAGUCAGCCGUCCUCUCAACAGGCCUCUAAACUGGCUUCUCAGCCAGGUAGAUUCUCAGCCAGACUUCCGCUCAACCAGUCUCUCAAACAGCCAGACAGCCAGUCUCUCAAACAGCCAGACAGCCAGUCUCUCAAACAGCCAGACAGCCAGCCUCUCAGUCAGCCUGCCUGCCGGCUUCUUGCUCAGCCUCCUCAGCCAGCCUCUCAAACAGCUUCAUGGCCAGCCUCUCAGCAAGACAGUUAGCCAGCCAUUGUCUCAGCAAACAUCUCAGCCAGCCUCUCAGUCAGGCAGAUUCUCAGCCUGGCAUUUUCUCAGCCUGCUUCUCAGCCAACCAGUCAACCAGCCUCUCAGCUGGUUUCCCCAGCCAGCCUGUUAAACAGCCUCCCAGACAGCCUCUAGGCCAGACUCCCAGCCUGCCUUUUCCCCAGCCUCCCUUGCAGCUAUCCUCUGGACCAGGCUAUGAGCCACUCUCUCAGCCAGCAGGACAGCCAGCCUCUGAGUCCGUCUCCCAGCUGGCCUCUUGACUGGCUUCCUAAGUGGCCUCUAUACCAGCGAGCCAGCCAGCCUCUCAGCAAGCCUCCCAGCUGCACCAUUGGCUGGCAUCUCUGCCAGCCAACCGGCCAGUCGGCAUCUCAGCAAGCCUCAGCCAGCCAUCCGCACAGCAAGCCUCAGCCAGCCAGCCUCACAGCAAGCCUCUAAGCCAGCCUCUCAACCAGGCAGCCUCUCAGCCAGACACUAAGUCAGACACUCAGUCAGACAGACCGCCUCUCAGCCGGAAAGCCUGCCAUCCAGCCUCACAACAAGCUACUUGGCCAGCCUUUAAGAUAGCCAACCAAGCAAACUCUCAGCCAGCCAGCCAGCCUGCCAGCCAGCUUCUAAGCAAGUAAACCUCUCAACCUGCCUCUCAGCUGGCCUUUAAGUGAGCCUCUCCACCAGGCAGCCUAUGAGCCAGCCUGUCAAGCAGCCAUCCUCUGUAACAUACCACCAGGCUCUCGGAAAGCCUCUCAGCCAGCCAACCUCUCAGCAAACCUCUAAGCCAGCCUCUCAGCCAGGCAGAAACACAGCCAGCCAUCCUCUCAGACAUCCUCUCGGCCAGCCUCCAAGACGCCCCAUUGACCAGCGUCUCAGCCAGCUAGCCUGCUUCCCAGCCUCUUGGCAAGUCUCUCAGCAAGCCAGCCUCUCAGCAAGCCACUAAGCCAGCCUCUCAACAACGUGGUCUCUGAGCUAGCCUCUCAGGCAGCCAACCUCUCAACCUCCCAACAAGCCUCUCAGCCAGCCAGCAUCUCAGCAAGCCUCUAACCCAGCCUCUCAACCAUGCAGAUUCUCAGUCAGCCAUUCUCACCUCCACCCUCUCAGCUAGCUACACAGCCUGCACUUGGCCAGACUCCCCAGACAGCCUCUAAAACAGCCUCUAAACAGCCUGAUAUCCAGCCCCCCAGCCUGCCUUUUCUCCAGUCUCCCAUGCAGCGCAGAUUCUCAGCCAGCCAUUCUCUCAGCCAGUCGCUAGCCCAUUCAGCCAGCCAGCCUGUCACACAGCCUCCCAUACAGCCCUCUAGGCCAUCGUCCCAGUCUGCCUCUUUGGAAGCCUCUGAUGCAGCCAUCCUCUGGACCAGCCUAUCAGCCAGCUUCUCAGUCAGCAAGACUGCUAGCCUCUCAAGGAGCCUCCCGGCUAGCCUCUCAG
rnacentral:lncRNA from 1 species